rnacentral:rRNA from 1 species
UAAGGAAUAUUGGACAAUGGGCGCAAGCCUGAUCCAGCCAUGCCGCGUGCGGGAAGAAGGCCUUCGGGUUGUAAACCGCUUUUGUCAGGGAAGAAACGCUCUGGGCUAAUACCCUGGGGUAAUGACGGUACCUGAAGAAUAAGCACCGGCUAACUACGUGCCAGCAGCCGCGGUAAUACGUAGGGUGCAAGCGUUAAUCGGAAUUACUGGGCAUAAAGCGUGCGCAGGCGGUUAUGCAAGACAGAUGUGAAAUCCCCGGGCUCAACCUGGGAACUGCAUUUGUGACUGUAUAGCUAGAGUACGGUAGAGGGGGAUGGAAUUCCGCGUGUAGCAGUGAAAUGCGUAGAUAUGCGGAGGAACACCGAUGGCGAAGGCAAUCCCCUGGACCUGUACUGACGCUCAUGCACGAAAGCGUGGGGAGCAAACAGGAUUAGAUACCCAUGUAGUCCCUGAGCGGGCUGGCAAGGCGCAU